rnacentral:rRNA from 1 species
UCUUGGUCAUUUAGAGGAAGUAAAAGUCGUAACAAGGUUUCCGUAGGUGAACCUGCGGAAGGAUCAUUAAAGAAUCAAACCCCGUUUCUUGAAAUGGGUUCUAUUCUAACCCGUGUAUACAUACCUUUGUUGCUUUGGCGGGCCGCCUUCGGGCGUUGGCUCCGGCUAACCGUGCCCGCCAGAGGACCCAAACUCUUUUGUUUAGUGAUGUCUGAGUACUAUAUAAUAGUUAAAACCUUCAACAACGGAUCUCUUGGUUCUGGCAUCGAUGAAGAACGCAGCGAAAUGCGAUAAGUAAUGUGAAUUGCAGAAUUCAGUGAAUCAUCGAAUCUUUGAACGCACAUUGCGCCCGCCAGUAUUCUGGCGGGCAUGCCUGUCCGAGCGUCAUUUCCCCCCUCACGCGCCCCGUUGCGCGCCGGUGUUGGGGCCCCUCCGCCUGGCGGAGGGCCCCGAAAGCGAGUGGCGGGCCCGGCUGGCUGGCUCCGAGCGCAGUACCGAACGCAAGUUCUCCCCUCGCUCAGACGCCCCGCCGGCGCCCUGCCGUCAAAACGCGCAUGACGUGCAACUCUUUUACAAGGUUGACCUCGGAUCAGGUAGGACUACCCGCUGAACUUAAGCAUAUCAAUAAGCGGAGGA